AUUGAACGCUGGCGGCAUGCCUUACACAUGCAAGUCGAACGGCAGCGCGGACUUCGGUCUGGCGGCGAGUGGCGAACGGGUGAGUAAUACAUCGGAACGUACCCUGUUGUGGGGGAUAACUAGUCGAAAGAUUAGCUAAUACCGCAUACGACCUGAGGGUGAAAGUGGGGGACCGGAAACGGCCUCAUGCAGCAGGAGCGGCCGAUGUCUGAUUAGCUAGUUGGUGGGGUAAAGGCCCACCAAGGCGACGAUCAGUAGCUGGUCUGAGAGGACGAUCAGCCACACUGGGACUGAGACACGGCCCAGACUCCUACGGGAGGCAGCAGUGGGGAAUUUUGGACAAUGGGGGCAACCCUGAUCCAGCAAUGCCGCGUGUGUGAAGAAGGCCUUCGGGUUGUAAAGCACUUUUGUCCGGAAAGAAAUCGCGCUGGUUAAUACCUGGCGUGGAUGACGGUACCGGAAGAAUAAGCACCGGCUAACUACG
rnacentral:rRNA from 1 species